GCCCCAGUAACGGCGAGUGAAGCGGCAAUAGCUCAAAUUUGAAAUCUGGCUCUUUUAGGGUCCGAGUUGUAAUUUGCAGAGGGCGCUUUGGCGUUGGCAGCGGUCCAAGUUCCUUGGAACAGGACGUCACAGAGGGUGAGAAUCCCGUACGUGGUCGCUAUCCUUCGCCGUGUAAAGCCCCUUCGACGAGUCGAGUUGUUUGGGAAUGCAGCUCUAAAUGGGAGGUAAAUUUCUUCUAAAGCUAAAUACUGGCCAGAGACCGAUAGCGCACAAGUAGAGUGAUCGAAAGAUGAAAAGCACUUUGGAAAGAGAGUCAAAUAGCACGUGAAAUUGUUGAAAGGGAAGCGCUUGUAGCCAGACUUGCCUGUAGUUGCUUAUCUAGACUUUUGUCUGGUGCACUCUUCUAUGGGCAGGCCAGCAUCAGUUUGGGCGGUUGGAUAAAGGUCUCUGUCAUGUACCUCUCUUCGGGGAGGCCUUAUAGGGGAGACGACAUACAACCAGCCUGGACUGAGGUCCGCGCAUCUGCUAGGAUGCUGGCGUAAUGGCUAUAAGCGGCCCGUCUUGAAACACGGACCAAGGAGUCUAACAUCUAUGCGAGUGUUUGGGUGUCAAGCCCAUACGCGUAAUGAAAGUGAACGGAGGUAAGAACCUUCGGGUGCAUUAUCGACCGAUCCUGAUGUCUUCGGAAGGAUUUGAGUAAGAGCAUGGCUGUUGGGACCCGAAAGAUGGUGAACUAUGCUUGAAUAGGGUGAAGCCAGAGGAAACUCUGGUGGAGGCUCGCAGCGGUUCUGACGUGCAAAUCGAU
rnacentral:rRNA from 1 species